CGGGAUGUGGCGCAGCUUGGUAGCGCAUCCGCUUUGGGAGCGGAGGGUCGCAGGUUCAAAUCCUGUCAUCCCGACAA
rnacentral:tRNA from 2 species